UGCUUUGCCAUGAUGCAGUGUCAUCCCUCUUCUCCUUAAUUCAGGAUAAGGACUAAAAGGGGGCUUAAUUUUCCCGCGUUAUAUCCAAAUUUGAUUAGAUAUGUGGUCCCAUGAAAUCAUUUCACUAUGUGAUCCUGAUUGGCUGAUAUCACAUGACGAAAAGUAGGGACAAGAGGAGGAGGACCACAAUUAUGGACUCUCCCCAAACAUACCUCCAAGUGUGGUUGGGCCAUGUAUAUAGGCUCUCUAUGUUGCCCUCCACGUAUAGAACAAAGACAUGAUCCAGCCCACUCUCAGAUACAUUGCAGAGGCAUUGGAUGAAUGUAAAGUAUUUGAGGUGGUGUGGAGAGGUGGUAGAGAUGAAACCUGGGGAGAAAUUUGUGGAAGUAGUGUGAGAGAGUAUCAAUUCGGUAAUGACUCAGGAUAUGAGAUAAGAUAAACAGCAACACAUAGAAAAAGAAAAACAUGGGGAGGGAAAUGAACUUUUGGAUGAACCCAUAAAAUGAAACAAAGGUAAUGUUCUUGAACAACUGAGGAUCUGGUGCUUCCCAGUGUGUAAAAGGGAAAUCCCAGACAAGAGCCACAACAUAAAAUAAAAUUAAGAAAUAAAGCAUUUCCUUGACAUCAAUUAAGAGAUUUUAUGUGUACUAGAAGAGAAUAUCAGAUAUUUUGGCUACAGUCCACAGGCUGAUUAUUCUGGAAUAGUGCCAUUGUCUUUAAUUUUGUACUUCAGAGUAAGCGAAGGCUGCUGCAGAUGUCAUUUCAACCAAAUAUUUAAUGUGGUUAUUGUAUCAGAACUCCAGUUCCAUUCAAUUUAAGCCAAAUGUAAAUAUGGUUAUGUAUAUGUAUCUAUAGACAUAAUUUCAUCAGGCCAUUUCUGAAUGAAGAACAUGACGUCAGAACUGCCACUGAUAGUUGAAGUAUAAAAUCCAAUGUCUUCAUGGUCAUUUAGCUUGUGCAAUAGUCUACAGUUAGGUAGCACCCAACCCUAGGGCUGCAUCAUUGUAUUAGAAGUACCACCACCUUUUCCCUUUUGCUUAUUCGUUGUUGUUUUUUAAGUGAUGGAUAGGAUGGAAAGAUAGAAGCACAUACAAUAGAGAAAAAUUAAAGUGGGUCCCGUGGUAAACUGGGUUUGAAAAACUUGAUAUAUUACUGGAUUAAGAGGAUUUACACAAUUUAUUUGAUGUGCUCCCACAUUUAUGCCUGCUGGAGAGAGCAUGGAAGGUUUUUUUUUUAAGCCCUGGGCAAUAUGAAGAUUAGGGAGAAAGACUGAUAAAGGUAUUGUAUUCCUCGAUGUCAUGCCCUUCCUUGAGGACUUAUGAGGAUAACGAGUGGGAGGAAGAGGCCAUGAUUCAGAGCCCUUCCAGUCAAGCCUCUGACUCAAAACUGGGCCUUUCAGUUGAGAAUUUUCAUCUGGAACUCUCACAGGUCCCUUGUUCCUUGUUCUAGGGAGAGGAGGUCAGGCCAUUCAAUGCUGAGGAGCCCCAUCAUUUGCCAGGGGAGGGCAAGGUCUCCACAGCACAGAAUGAGGUGUCAGGAUUAGAGGAAAGCCAGACAUUUUCUCUAGGGCAACAGUGGCACAUCAGUAGGCAGGAACAGACCCAGCCUAUGAGGAGUGCUUCACUUCAGGCCAGGAGUUGUUGGCAAGAAAGACAGUCUCACAAGUAGCUAGACUUUCCCCACUUCUAUUUAAAAGAGUGGUGGGUAGGCAGGGCCAAUUGUUGGAACAACUUCAUGCUCCUGUGCAGCUCUUGAUCCUGGAAUCCUGACUCCUGGUCUUUACCUUGAACUGCUUUUAGGGAACCCUGAAGCUUCUCUCCUGAGCUGGACUGAUCCUUACCUCAUCACAGGUAUCCCGGGGUGACUGGACUAAUUUUUGCUCUUAUAUUCCUAAGUUUACACUGUCAGAAUAAAGUUUGGCUUCUUACUUGCAAGAAAGCCCAACUGUUGUUAUUCUUGGGUGGGAGUCAGGAUAUGCUGCUAUUUAUUUGAAAGUUGGGUAGUGUGAUCAAACCGUGUGGCAUCCUUUCCAUGUAGUAGUUGGUUUCAAGGACUCAGUUGGUUAAAGCAAUUUCUACUAUGUCAGGGAAAGCCUUUUGGCUGAAAAUCAUCCAAAUCACAUGAGCACAACUUCACACAUCAUUUACCAUGUGACUCUAAACCCAUGCUGAUGGAAUCCAAAAUGGUAAUAUUUUUGUGUGACUGUGCCAAAGACAUUCAGGUUAUGGUCCAAAGUGAUGAUAUUUGUUUUAUUGCUGGUUUAGCUCCCAUGGACACAGGAUGCAAACAGUUAUCUUGUGGCAAAGUAACACAGUACAUCAAAUGCAUCAAUUCUCAACUUAAUUUGGAACCACCAACAUAACCACUGGUGAGAUAUUACUAAAUAUGAGAGCCCCUUCUCUGCUAUUACAUUUGCAGGAAAGGAAGAUUCUUAUCAUUGUUUCACUCAGGAAUGUGCAUGAAGAAGCAGCGGUGAAAUUUGCUCACCAAGCAUUUUACUUAAAUAUCCACUUCUCUAGCAGUCUGAAAAUGAUUCCCUGAGUGCCUGCCAUUAAUGCUAUAGCUGUAGUGAAGCCAGGUGCCUUACAAAGCUCCUAGAUGGUUUAGGGCAGUCCAAAACCAAUUAAUCAAUGCCAGGCUACAUGAUGAUUUAUGACUUAGUACAUUGCUUUAUACUUUGCUGUUCUGAACUGAAACCAUUCCAGAGAGCUCACUGGAAAAACAGAUAUACCUUUAUUUUAGAGAGACACUGUGAUGGCAUUGAUUGAAUUUCAUAGACUGAGACUGGGAUCAAGUAGUGAUGUAGAUCUUUUCAAUGCACAAAACUUAGAAUCUGGCAUAGAGCAUCUGAAAAAAAUUCAACUUUCUAGAAGAUGCAAGAUCCGUUAAAUUAGUGGUGGUCUGUAUUUUCUUUCUGACUGUCUUUCUGACAGUGACGAGCAACUGAAGAGACCUCCAAUUCUAACUGUGAAGAGUGUAACCACUAACUUGGCAAAAUGCAAAUGCGUCAAACAGUAAGUUAAUGUUUAUACAGAAGCCACUGGCUAUGAAGAUCUGGAACUCCCCUAGCCAGACAGCAAAAGUUGUAAUUUUUUACAUCUUAGAUGAAAAUGUGAGCUCUUAUUUACAAUAUGAUAUAUGAGUGAUAAAUGCAAAACUAACGUUCAGAAAAUGAAAGACGAGAUAAUCCUUUGAGGAACUAGAAUGACUUAUCUACGUAUUAAUAGAAAAGGGAUACGGGAUUGGUUCUCCAUAUCGUAAAGCUUGGGACAGUUGACAACCAAAUUUGCACAGUAAGAAGGUAUGUUGAAUGAACUUAAGUAAAGAGAGGCAUGUGAUGGUUGGGACAGUUUUUGACUUUGAUAGCUAAUUUGCUGUUCAGGCUAGAUUUACCAAGCCACUAAAGUUGUUGAAAGUUGAUUGAUUGUGAGUAGAGAUGAGAUAUAUGUUUAGUCUUAUGGGAUAACAGUCAUGUACUUCGCCAUGUGCAGAACCUUAUUUUACAUUUUGAUACUGGCAAGAACUACUCAGGGAAAUUAAGCUAAACUUAAAAUAUAUAUCUGAGCAUUACAGAUUACUAGAAAAGCUAACCAAUAGACUGUAACUGACACGGGGACAAAUAGAAGAGGAUGUCUUCACCCCAGUAUGGCUCCCCUUUAUCACAUACACAGCCCAACAAGACAACAACAAGAAUCCACCAACAGCAUACAAAUCAAUCUGGCUUGCCUGACCCAACAAGCCCUCUCUCACCUCACAAAUGCAAACAAACCCCAUUGCAGCCAACCACAGACAACCCAGCCACACCCUGCCCCCAAUACCUCUCACUACCAAGGAAAUGUAAUAAAUGAAUAGAAAGAGAACUUACCCUGUUAACGCUGACACAAAACCCCACACGUACACUAUACAAAAGAAUGUAAGCCUUACCAUCUCACCCCUCCUCUCCCCCAACCCUAUACUCAACGCUAAUGUCUCACAACAAAUGUACAUGAUUUGUAAGAAAGACUGUACAACCUGAAAAAAGAGACAAGGCAUGUACUUUUUGUAAACC